rnacentral:rRNA from 1 species
GACGAACGCUGGCGGCGUGCUUAACACAUGCAAGUCGAACGGAAAGGCCCUGCUUUUGUGGGGUGCUCGAGUGGCGAACGGGUGAGUAACACGUGAGUAACCUGCCCUUGACUUUGGGAUAACUUCAGGAAACUGGGGCUAAUACCGGAUAGGAGCUCCUGCUGCAUGGUGGGGGUUGGAAAGUUUCGGCGGUUGGGGAUGGACUCGCGGCUUAUCAGCUUGUUGGUGGGGUAGUGGCUUACCAAGGCUUUGACGGGUAGCCGGCAUGAGAGGGUGACCGGCCACGAUGGGACUAACGUACGGCACAGACUCCUACAGGAGGCAGCAGUGGAGAAUAUUGCGCAAUGGGCGGAAGCCUGAUGCAGCAACGCCGCGUGCGGGAUGACGGCCUUCGGGUUGUAAACCGCUUUCGCCUGUGACGAAGCGUGAUUGACGGUAAUGGGUAAAGAAGCACCGGCUAACUACGUG